ACGGGGAGAUGACAGCUGUCUACAUGUCAAGCAGAGAGACCCGGGAAGGAACCAGCCCAGCUGACACCUUGAUCUCCGACUUGCAGCCUCCAGAACCGUUACCUGGUGGGAACAGGCACUGAUCCCAUCAGGAGUCCCUGGCACUGACCCCCUAACCCUUUCUAAUGGUUCUCCUCCCAGGCAUAGUCUCCUCACGUGCACUGACCAGUUCACUGCCGAGGACUCGGGGGAGAUUCCCUGCCAGCCCUCCUCUGGGCAGCUCUGAGUUCCUCCUCCUGACACCUCUACUUGGAAGCUUUCUCAAGAGUAGCUGGGCUUGAGACAUUUUAUUUCCCAUCUUUCAGAGAACACGGUCUUACGCAACUUGAUAUCCUCUGCCUUGAAUACCAUUGUUUCUUAUAUUUUGUGAAAGUUUGGAAUUAUUUCAUGCAGGAGGUUAAAUUAGAUCCCUGUCACUCCAUGUUAGUUGGAAAUGGAAGUCUGAGAAACACUUAAAAUUUCUGUCCUUCUGUUCAUUGAGGAUGAGCUAGGAAUCCUUUCGGCUGCAAGUAACUGAAAGCGGGACCUAGGCCUACACCGCUCACUAUUUACUCCUAUAGUAAAUACUGCUAGUCAUUCCCCAAUAUCUCAUUUUUCCCCCUCCUCUCAGUACAGAACUCUUAAAAGUUAGUCGGGCACAUGGCUGCCCAGGUAGAAGUUCCAUUUCUCAGUUCCCAGGCAAUAGGUGUGGUCAUCUGACUAAGUUCUGGCAGAUUUGCUAUAAAUGAAAGUGUUGCCUGAGACUUCCAGGAUAUGUUGUCAUGAAGAGAAGGUCUUCAUCUCUUCUCCUUUUCUCUGGCCUGCCGGCUGAGCUGGGUGUGAUGGCUGGAGCUGGAGCAGCUGGGUUGGACCACAGGACAAAAGCCAGGGUCGAGCCUGGUCUCUGAAAUGUAUGGGGCUAUGUUGCCAGAUGCUAACUACCAUAUAAGGUACAACUCUGCAUCCUUCUUCAGGAAGCUCUCAUGCCCGUGGGAUCUCAGGAAUCCAGCUUCGGGAGACAUGCCCCUUCCAUGUUGGGUGCUGUGAGAGUCAGAGCCUGGGAUGCCGGCUACUCGAGGCAUCAAGAGCAUCAGCGGGGCACUCCCACAGCCCAGCGCUGCACAUGCCCUCAAGGACGGACCAUGGCUCCAGAAUCCCUACUCCCCGUGGAAGCCUAUGGGCAGAAGUCCUGAUUAAUGUUGCUCAGAAAUCACACUGAGAAAAAAAUCACAUCGUGGCAGCUCUCUCUCACCCCCAAAAUCUUAUUCCAUGAAAAUAAGUGUGUAACCUGAUGUGACUGGCUGAACUGUUCUCUGUGCACUGCUGAAGCUGGUUUCCUGGCAGUCUUGGCCUCUGAUUUUGGCAUUAAAUAGUCAUUUUCUGUAACAUAUACCUGCACAUACACAUAUACACGCAAGCAUACAUGCCCAGGUGCACACAUGUACACAUGCAUACAUACA